rnacentral:rRNA from 1 species
GACGGAGGGCGCAAGCGUUGUUCGGAAUUACUGGGCGUAAAGCGCGGGCAGGCGGUCUGUUAAGUCGUUUGUGAAAAUCCGGGGCUCAACCCCGGAAAUGCAUACGAUACUGGCAGGCUGGAGACCGGUAGAGGCUGGCGGAAUUCCUGGUGUAGCGGUGGAAUGCGUAGAUAUCGGGAGGAACACCUGUGGCGAAGGCGGCCCCCUGGUUGGAUACUGACGCUGAUACGCGAAAGCGUGGGGAGCAUACAGG